ACGGUUAUAAAUCAACAUAUUGAUUUAUAAGCAUGGAAAUCCCCUGAGUGAAACAACGAAUUGCUGUGUGUAGUCUUUGCCCAUCUCCCACGAUG
rnacentral:other from 1 species